UCCGUAGGGGGCUAGCGUUGUCCGGAAUCAUUGGGCGUAAAGCGCGUGUAGGCGGCCCGGUAAGUCCGCUGUGAAAGUCGGGGGCUCAACCCUCGGAUGCCGGUGGAUACUGUCGGGCUUGAGUACGGAAGAGGCGAGUGGAAUUCCUGGUGUAGCGGUGAAAUGCGCAGAUAUCAGGAGGAACACCUAUUGCGAAGGCAGCUCGCUGGGACGUGACUGACGCUGAGACGCGAAAGCGUGGGGAGCAAACAGG
rnacentral:rRNA from 1 species